GAUGUGUAUCGAGCAUUGUAUGGUGCGCUUGUGGUAAGUAUGUUAAACCAUAAAUAAUUUCAGUUUCAUCAUUGUCGUUUUCAUGUAGUACUUUUCAUUCACUGAUUUGUAAGACAAGAAACUGCAAAAAGUUAUUCAGACACUGUAAACAGUUGGUUUUUUUAUCUGUGUUGUAUGGAGAGAAGCUGGCACACCGGGAAACGACCUUGGUCUAUCCGACUGCUGUGCGGGAGGCAGUGAGGGGUCGUUUCCCGGAGGAAACUCCAGGAAAAUACGAUGACCAAUACCUUACCAAGGGUCGCCAUGUCACAUUGGCAGAGAUAGCAUCAUUGAAAUUGAGGGUCCCCAAAACCUGUGCCAAGUGUAGGGCAACAAGACCAGCCAAACCAGAAAGAACCAGAUCUUCAUCUGCCCCAUACUGAGGAUACUUGUGUUGAAGAACACUUUUUCUUACUACAUACAUUGUAUUAAACUCAAUUUCACAAAGAA